ensembl:lncRNA
AUAAAGGAGGGAGAGGGAUUGUCGGCGUGAGGAGGGGGUCACCAGCUGGGACCUGGUCCAUGCAGCAUUGCCAGUACAACAGAAAGAGUUAAAAAGACACACACAAAUAGAGAAGCUUAAGAGAGAAGCUUAUUGGGGUCAUAACUGCUUCUGGCAGCUGUAUUAUCAACAAGUUCGUCUCUUUUUUUUUUUUUUUGUCUCUUUGACUGUUUUGUUUGUUUCCUGUAGUCGAUCGAUUUAAGACGUCAGUAUCAAAGCUCUGCAGUUUUCGCAGUCCAACAGGUAUUACUCAUUUUAGGGGGGUUUGAUUUCUUUUUUUUUUGUUUCCCAUUUGUUUUUAUUUGUUUGUUUUCAUCGGCUGUGAAUGAGAGCUCUUACCGUGUCUGACCUUUUGUAUUUCUGCUCUCCUGCACACACGCCCUGAGUAAGGCAGCUAUAACCCUACUCUCUCUUAAGUUGGCUACUUUGAAAUACACACACACAUAAACACACACACACACCUUUCAGCCCUCUCACCCAGACCUGGUCCAGCCUAGUCUUGCCUGCGCCACUCCCCCGGACAGGACUUUCACCUCUGAGAAGGAAGGAAGAAUAUGACUGCUGAAACACUUAACUUUGGCCCAGAAUGGCUCCGUGCACUUUCCAGUGGAGGCAGUGUGUCUUCCCCUCCUGCCUCUCCUGCUAUGCCAAAGUACAAGUUGGCCGAGUACCGUUAUGGCCGAGAGGAGAUGCUAGCACUUUAUGUCAAAGACAACAAGGUCCCUGAAGAAAUGCAGGAUAAAGAGUUUGCUGCUAUUCUGCAGGAUGAGCCUCAACAGCCACUGGCACUGUUGCCUUUCACUGAAGAGGAGCAGAGGAACUCCAUGUCUGUCAACAGUGUGGCUGUGCUGAGGCUUAUGGGUAAGGGGGGCGGGGCCGUCCCUGCUGGAGUGAACCGAGGCAGAGGCAGUGUGAGAGGCGGUCGAGGUCGAGGAAGAGGAGAGGGCGGUUUCUACCAAAGAAGCAGUGAGGAAGGAGAGGGCGGUUUUGGUCGUAGCGUUCGAGAGAUCCAUCGCAGUCAGAGCUGGGAUGACAGAAGUGAGAGACGUUUUGAGAAACCUCUGCGGAGGGAAGGUGUACGUCUUGGUUUUGAGGAGGGGGGUCCGGGUGGCAGAAAGGAGUUAAUGCGCUCUGAUAGUGACAACUGGCGCACACUGAGAGAGGAGCAGGAGGAGGAGGACACAGGAGAGGCUGGAGGCAGCUGGAGACUCACGGGCUCACGAAGAGAUGAUGGUGGUCCUCGCUCUGCCGGUUGGCGCGAACACUCUGGUCCGGGUGAAGUUCGCCGCAGGAAGUUUGACUUCGACUUCCGGGAUGGAGGAAACGAGGGAGGCAGACGGAAAGCAGGCAGCGAAGGAGCAGAGGAGGAGAGAGAUGGUCUGCCAGAGUGGUGCACAGAUGAGGAAGAUGGAGAAAUGGGAACUUUUGAUUCUUCUGGAGCGUUUAUGCCUAUUAGGAAGGGCCCGAAAGACCCCAUUCCAGAAGAGGAGUUUGAGUUCCAGGGGUUGGAGGAUGAGGAAGAGGACGGUGAUAAUCAAGAGAAGAAGAAUGGCGCUGGUGCUGAAAAAAGCGAGAAAGAUGUCAUUGACUCUGCUCCAGUGUCUGAAACGGAAGUGAAACCGAUUUCUCCUUCCCCUCCUUCUCCUCUCCCUCAGUCUCUUCCUGCUCUGGUCCCUGAGGCUGUGCCCUCUGCUGCCCCCUCUGGCCUGGAGGAGCCUCAGCCUGCCCCCUCCAUUCCCAACAAACUACCAAGUGAAGUGUUAUCAGAGGCUAUGUUAGAUUUGAGCCCCAGUGCCUCCUCCAGUCUGCCUUCAUCGCCUCCCUCUUCAUCCUCUGCUGCUACUGACUUCCCACCACCGGGGGGUGAUAUUGAGGAUGAUGAGGGCAUGAAGCACCUGCAACAGGAGGCAGAGAAGAUGGUGGCAGCGCUCCAGGACACAUCUCUAGAGGAAGAGUGUUUCACCCAGACUCUUCAGGAGAGCAGAAACACAGCCUCUGCUCUUCCUCUCUCCCAUGACUCUGCCAUGAAAUGGUUUUACAAAGACCCGCAAGGAGAGAUUCAGGGUCCUUUCAGUACAGUGGAGAUGUGUGAAUGGUUUCAGGCGGGGUAUUUCGCCAUGAACCUGCUUGUUAAACGUGGUUGUGAUGAGGGAUUUCAGCCGCUGGGAGAAGUCAUUAAGAUGUGGGGGCGUGUGCCUUUCGCCCCUGGCCCCUCCCCUCCGCCCCUCCUGGUGAGGAAGCAAGCUGACCAUCGCCCUCACCCACCCCGGGGGGCAAUCGGUAAUAUGGAUCAGGAGCGGCUGAAGAAGCAGCAGGAAUUAGCUGCUGCCAAGGCUCUUUACCAGCAACUCCAGCAACAGCAGCUGUUCCAACUCAUCAACAGGUGUGAAGAGCAGGGUAUGAUGCCUUCGUUAAACAGGUCGAUGUCAGUGCCAGAUACAGGGUCCAUGUGGGACAUGCAUACCUCAGCCUCACAGCCAGCAGGCAGUGAGGCCAGUCUAUGGGACUUAAUGAAUUCUUCAACUCAGGGUCCAAUUCUAGAACAGCUUCAGAAGGUGAGAGUUGCCGCUGAUGCCCUCUGCUGGUGAUCUGAGGAAAUGCACUGGACUCAAACU